UACGAAGGGGGCUAGCGUUGCUCGGAAUCACUGGGCGUAAAGGGUGCGUAGGCGGGUCUUUUAAGUCAGGGGUGAAAUCCUGGAGCUCAACUCCAGAACUGCCUUUGAUACUGAAGAUCUUGAGUUCGGGAGAGGUGAGUGGAACUGCGAGUGUAGAGGUGAAAUUCGUAGAUAUUCGCAAGAACACCAGUGGCGAAGGCGCUCACUGGCCCGAUACUGACGCUGAGGCACGAAAGCGUGGGGAGCAAACAGG
rnacentral:rRNA from 1 species